rnacentral:rRNA from 1 species
GGGAAUCUUGCGCAAUGGGCGAAAGCCUGACGCAGCCAUGCCGCGUGGAUGAUGAAGGUCUUAGGAUUGUAAAAUCCUUUCAGCGGGGACGAUAAUGACGGUACCCGCAGAAGAAGCCCCGGCUAACUUCGUGCCAGCAGCCGCGGUAAUACGAAGGGGGCUAGCGUUGCUCGGAAUUACUGGGCGUAAAGGGCGCGUAGGCGGACAGUUCAGUCGGGGGUGAAAGCCCGGGGCUCAACCUCGGAAUUGCCUUCGAUACUGGCUGUCUUGAGUAUGAGAGAGGUGUGUGGAACUCCGAGUGUAGAGGUGAAAUUCGUAGAUAUUCGGAAGAACACCAGUGGCGAAGGCGACACACUGGCUCAUUACUGACGCUGAGGCGCGAAAGCGUGGGGAGCAAAC